ensembl:ncRNA lncRNA:CR45707 long non-coding RNA:CR45707
AACAAAACGAAAGCCAGAAAGGCAGCUGUAAACAUAUUUCCCAUAUUACGUCACAGUGGCUUGUCAAAGAGGACAACAUCAAAUGAUGGCAAGGAAAGCAAGCUGCCUGCCAUAAACAACAAGAACCAAAAGGACAAAUAAACAAACAGCAGUUAAGGGCUGGGAAAAUGGGGUGGGAAAACGCGGGGAAAUCCGCCAGCGAGCCAUAAAAAUAGCUGAGGCCAAAAGCAUUCAAACUUAUGCUGGGACAGAGCCACCGAAAGCUGGAUCACGGAUGGCGCUUAUAUUUUAUUGCUAUUAUCCUGUUUACCCCAUGUUUACGCACACACACAAGCACACAAACAGGAGCGCACACAGACGAGGGGGAGCACAUGUUCGGUUGUGCGAUGGUGUGCGAAUUAGUUGUGGCAGUCAAAUGAGAGUGGUGCCUCGAUUUUUGCCUUCUCAUUGUUAUUUCACCAUACACUUUCCGAACGGGUAUGGAUGAUCCACAUGAUCUGUGCUAUAUGAUUACACAUAUUUGGCUUGCACUAUUAAAUACAGUUCGUAAUUAAAUACUUUAAUCUAAUAAAACCUCACCAG